rnacentral:misc_RNA from 1 species
GAUGAAGAACGUAGCGAAAUGCGAUAAGUAAUGUGAAUUGCAGAAUUCAGUGAAUCAUCGAAUCUUUGAACGCACAUUGCGCCCGCCAGCAUUCUGGCGGGCAUGCCUGUUCGAGCGUCAUUUCAACCCUCGAGCCCCCCCCGGGGGCCUCGGUGUUGGGGGACGGCACACCAGCCGCCCCCGAAAUGCAGUGGCGACCCCGCCGCAGCCUCCCCUGCGUAGUAGCACACACCUCGCACCGGAGCGCGGAGGCGGUCACGCCGUAAAACGCCCAACUUUCUUAGAGUUGACCUCGGAUCAGGUAGGAAUACCCGCUGAACUUAAGCAUAUCUAUAAGCGGAGGA